AUGAUAGAGGUGGUGUUGAACGAUCGAUUGGGGAAGAAGGUUCGUGUGAAGUGCAACGAUGAUGAUACUAUUGGGGAUUUGAAGAAACUGGUGGCGGCACAGACUGGUACAAGGGCCGACAAGAUCCGAAUCCAGAAGUGGUAUACUAUCUACAAAGAUCAUAUCACUCUUAGGGAUUACGAGAUCCAUGAUGGCAUGGGUCUUGAACUCUACUACAACUGA